CCUCACCACCCUCACGCUGUUCAUCGUGCAGAGGAAGAGAAGGCAGAGGAAGCAAAGGGCUGAGGAACAAUCCUGACAGACAGAGGAUUUAUCAGAAAGACAGGGUUGUUAAGCAGUAUCCAGACACUGCUUCUCUCUGACAAUGGGUUCCUCUCUGCUGCUCCUGCAGCAUGACAAGCAAAGAAACUCUGCUGGGAAGUAAAAUGCAUUUUGUUUGAAGGGGCUUCCUCCUAGGCUGGAGAAUGCCAGGUUGGAUUGAAUAAUAUGCACAGGAAGGAAAGGGAAUGCAAACUGAGACAGGGGUAAGCACAGGACAUUGUGGUAGAUGAGGGACUUUCGCCACAGGUAAAGUCUCUGUAGGACUCUUCUGACUCCCCUGACUUUUCAGCCUCAGUUUACCAAGCUGGGGAAUAGAGUAUAUCUUCAGUUAUAUAAAACUGCAGUGAAUUCCACAAGAUUCAGGAAUUCUUUUGUUUGACCAAAGAACAAAUGAGUCUUGUUAAACAGUCCUAGUUAUUUAGUACAGAUCAUCAUUUGUUUCUAACUACAGUUAAUUAGGCAAAUGGAAAACUUGUAGUUUCUUCUCAGGACUUAAAAAAAAAAGUCUGGUAAGGAUCAUCCUAUCAUCUUCCAGGACUGCUCCCAGUCCUCAACUCAUCUUCAACUUCAGGAGUGGCAAAACUACAUCACCUUACAAUCAGUUGUCAAUAAUUACCUGUACCAUGCAUUGCUGCUUAUAUGCAUCUCUGAAGCUAAUCCAGACAGGACCCUCUGGAUCCUAUUUUUAAUCCUAAUUGAUAAGUCAUGUGCCUGCCUUCCAGCUAUCUGCUAGAGAUUCCCAUAGAGACAGUAACAGCAAUUGACUUAGAAGACCUGACACCCGAGUACCCUUUGGAACUGUUUUUGAUGUUACUGUACUGUUAAAAGUCUCUGGCUGGUGGAGGCAGUAAAGAACAUCGCAGUGCCUGGAAGGAGCUCAGUCCUUAUCGAACACGAAGCUUUGCUGUUCAUCCAAGGGAAGUUGUGCCUCAGUGUUCACUCCUGGGCAAACCAUGGGGUAUUUUCCUUACUAGGUUGUUUCAAUUUCACAGAAUUGUUAUGGGGAAUAAACCCUGAGACCAGGAAGAUGGAUAGGAUAGAACCUGAUAGGAAAAAGAAUAAACCAGCUCUGGGUGUUCAGAAGUACAGACAAUUCCUUGGGUAGUGCAGGAAGUGUAACUGAUCCAUUAGGUGGCCACCAUGGAGCUGAUACAUAAACUAUUGAUUGCUUUAAAGUCUAAAACAGUGAAACAAUUGCUCUUUUUAAUUAUUUUUUUUUUAAUUUAUUUUACAAAGGAGUUCAAUAUGAUUUUGUUCUUUAAUACCAGACCAUUUUUCAGCAGAUUGCAGCUCUUGUCAAGAAAAGAAAAAUAGAAAACGUCUAAUUUUAAGCUCUCUAAACAGGGAGCGCUGUUUUGAGCUUUCAAAAUUAUCAUGAACCCGUUAUAUCCUUGUUCUAGAGGGACCUCAAAAUUCCUGAUACUUAUCCCUUUAGGCAUACAGUCUUCACAUCUCCCCCAGGCCGUAUCCCCAUGCAAGACUUGGGCAGGAAACCAAACCCAUCAGACUGAUAAAGAGAUUGCACUGUAUCAUUCCUUCUGCUGACUGAGGGUUUAUGAUGGCUGAGCUCAUCAAGAGAAAAUGUGAGAGAGAAAAUGGUGAUUCCUGUUAAGACCAGAACAUGGGCACAGCCUCAUUGUAGCUUGCAGAUCUAUGGGAUAAGGCUUCAUAAAUCACCAGUAUUUAGUAAUUGCUGACCUGGAACACUUGCCGAAACCCACAAACCACUCAGUACGUUGCAGUUUGUGAGACCUUACGAGCCACGUAAUAUUUUACAGUUCCUGAAGCUAUUACCCAUCUUUGCAGGAAGAGAGAGAUUUUGAAAGGCAGGAUUGUACAUUGCGUACAAGGGAUUGUGCACAAUGGGCUAUUCCUGUCAUAAAACUUUAAUAGAAUGCUGCAGUCAGUCUGUAUUGCACGGAUUUGACGAGUGGCAGCCUUGAUAAAAACAGAGGGGACAAUUUGGAUCUGUUUAUUUUGUAGUUGAAGAACCAUUUAUAACACAGUGGCGAGGCUAUGGUGAGACAAUUUCUAAAUUAUAUCCAGUGCCAAAAUCCAGUUGGACUGCGAUGGUAUUUCGGUGCCCAGGCAGCAGUGCUGAGUACCUACACAUAGCCCUUCUCUGUGUCAUGAGGAUUCAUUUCUGGUUUUCAUCCAGCAGAGAUAGUCCAGUAAGAGGGAUGGUUUUCACACCAGGGUGAGAAAUGCAGGUUUUUAAAUCAUCCACAGGUCGAGCAGGGCCAAGCACUUGGUGGCUGAAGCCACAGAGUGCCCAGGCUGCCCUAACAGCUGUUUCUGGCCAUGAAACAAGGACAAGAUGAAAGUACAGCUAUCUGGGUGUCCCAGAUGGAGAGCUGUGGCCACCCCUGAGUGGAUCAUGUCUGCCAGACUUUGGGAGUGGAAUGACCUGUAAAAGGAGUGGAGGAAACUCACAUGAAUUGUGACUAGAGAUGUCUCCUGAGCUACUGACAUAUAUUAGAAAUCUAAACUUGGGUCACUGUGGAAAUCCCUGUGCACCUCAAGGUACACGUAAAAUCAGUAUUGUUUAUGCAGAGUUUUUGUGCAAUCUCAGUUCUAACUUCCCCUUGAAUGUAAGAGAGGAAAUAGAAAACUGUUUUAGAAGGAAAAGAAAAAGCAGUUUAUACUAUGGGAAGUCUGAAUAGGAAGCUCCAGCUGACUGUUUACUAAGCUAAAUGCAACAUGGAAAAUUCAGUGUGUCAGGAAAAAUAACAUAGUCUUCUCUCCUGGUGGCAAGCAGCCAUGAUUGUUGUUACUGACAUGGUCAGCUAAUAUCAUCCUUCUGAUAUUACUAUAGAUGGAUAAAAUCACCAUGAGAACUACCCAGUACUGAAAAAUACACAUUUGUACUGGUUUUUCUCUCCUCAAUAGAGUAAGGUCAGUUCUGAGCUGGGGCUGCAGGGCUGGGAGUGUAUCUGGAAGCUUCUGUGAAGUGUGGGGUGGUUCAGUGUUUACUGGACAUAUACAUGUGUCAGAAAGUGCUCUGCAUCCCUGCCUGGUACAGGCCAAUCCCUGGUAGGGAAAAGAUGAGCCCAGAUGAGACAAAUGCAACAUGACCUACGCAUCUAAGAGAUGUUUUCUUAACAACCAGCUUUCUAGCACAGAAGAAGAGUGUUUCUCUCCAACCUUCUGUGCCUCUUCUGUGUCUGGAGAGAGGAGAGCUCUGAGAGUACAGCUGUGGAAUCUGAAUAGGAGAUAACAGUGCAAAUGUGUGUAGUGUACGUCUAAGCCCUGAUUUUCAAUACACAAUGAUUUUUAAAAAAAGCUUAGUGCUGACUCUGAUGCCUUUUGCACUUCUAGUGCCUUUUCUCCUACGCAUUGCACAGCAGCAGCACAUUCUGGUGUCUGCUGUAAUAUGGGUAAUAACUCGUAGUCAUAUGUUUCUGAUUUUCAUCAAAUGGAGCAACAAGUGGGGGGUAUCCUGCAGAGGUGACACAAAUUAUCUUUUAAAAUUAAUGGUAGAAGUGAUCCUGUAUCUCAGGAAGAGUGUCCAUGGAUUCUGUGAAGUGAGUUGGGUGGCAGAGGUGAGCUGGAAUUCAUUGGAAUUAUAGGGGUGGGAUAAUGGUGGGUAAUGUCCCAAGACUUAGAGCAGGACUGAUGUUUCCAG